UUUUUUUUUUUUUUUGUGUUCUUUAGUGGACAUUGGUUUAAUUUGAAAAACGAUUGGUUUGAUUUGGUUUGAAUGUAAAAUGGUCCCGAAACCGAGAAAAGAAAACCGAGUUUGAUUGAAGGAGUAAUUUAGAGACAUUAGUGGGGUCAGAAAAAGAAGAAGACAGGAGGACAAGGAGAGGAAGGGAAGGGAAGUGAAAGCAUAGGAAAUUGUUGGUAUGCCUUUGUCGCAAAUGGCAAAGAUGCUACUUGCGGGGGCGGCCUUUAAGCUUCAUAUUUCAAAGCCAAAAGAAGAUCAUUAUCAUCAGAUCAGAUCCAUUCAAACAAAAUAUAAUAAGUAUAUGCAACUAAGUUGCGUUUUAGAAGUGGCUCAGAAUUGAGGCAAUGAGACAGACAUAUCACUGCCUACGUAUUGUCUCAACUCCCUUAACCAUCG
rnacentral:lncRNA from 1 species